rnacentral:lncRNA from 1 species
GUCUCCCUACAAAUCAAAAAAAUAGACUUUUAUAAGAUCAAGAGAUGAGGAAAAAGAAUGGAAACAACAAUCCAGAAGAUACAAAAUAAGGGAUCCAAACCAUAGAUCAACUUAAAAUAGGAACCAAUGCUGAAAGUUAAAAAAGAUACCAUGGAUCAAAGCAAAACAAAUAUCAAAGGAUGGAAGGAACCUAAAGGAAUCGGAUAAACUUACAUGAAAAUGGCAUUGAAAAUGAGGCAAGGUAGGAUCC